ensembl:snoRNA SNORD22 Small nucleolar RNA SNORD22
UCCCCAUGAAGAAACAUUCACAUGUCUUACUUCCUGUCCUAGCUCCAGAGCCUGAAAAGGUGAACCCACUGGGGCUGGCUGGGGGAUAAGAGGAACAUUUGUUCCAGAAGGAACUGUCUGAGGGAU